rnacentral:lncRNA from 1 species
AAACCAUCAAUUCCAGAUCAAAAAAUCUAUACAAUAAGGCCCGAUUACCAAGCAAUUACAAACUUCACAAUUGGGGAAAACAAGGAUCUACAUAUACUAAGUACUUGGCCAGAAGAAACUAUAUCUGCGUUUAUACUCGAAAUCUCUGUCCACACAAUGAGAAAGCAUAAAUGCUUGCUUAUCAAGAUUUUGAAGCUUCCCUAGAAACAAUUUCCUGCUCCAGCUAUUCAAAAAAAAAAAAAAAAAAAA